UGUGUGUGUGUCUCUGUAUGUAUGUGUCUGUAUCAUACAGACACAUACAUACAGAGACACACACACAUA